AACGCGAAGAACCUUACCUGGGCUCGAACGGCUCACGAACGUCCUUGGAAACAGGGAUUUCCCGCAAGAGACUGCUGCGGAGGUGCUGCAUGGCUGUCGUCAGCUCGUGUCGUGAGAUGUUGGGUUAAGUCCCGCAACGAGCGCAACCCUUAUCGUUAGUUGCCAGCGAGUCAAGUCGGGCACUCUAGCGAAACCGCCUCGGAUAACGGGGAGGAAGGUGGGGAUGACGUCAAGUCCUCAUGGCCUUUAUGUCCAGGGCUACACACGUGCUACAAUGGCCGGUACAAACCGUCGCAAACUCGCGAGAGGGAGCUAAUCGGAAAAAGCCGGCCUCAGUUCGGAUUGGAGUCUGCAACUCGACUCCAUGAAGCUGGAAUCGCUAGUAAUCGCGGAUCAGCACGCCGCGGUGAAUACGUUCCCGGGCCUUGUACACACCGCUCGUC
rnacentral:rRNA from 1 species